GCGUGAUCUGCAUAAACACUGAGUGGCGAUUAUGUACUGGGCCCCAUGGAAUAAUAACGAGAUGGAAACGCACCCUCCUAGCCUUCAAAGAGCAAAGGCUACAGAGUUGUGGGGACAUAAGUCCCCCAUAACUUAUGAUGCAAGCCAUGCAGGCUCCUGGCAGAGUGGGGUCCCCAGGGAAGAUAGCCAGGAGGGCUAGGGGCUUAAGCUGGAGCACCCUUGGGGCAGGUGUGGCCCUGACCCAGUGAGGCCAGCCUGGCUGCGGCCACCUACCCUGUCCCAGGUGCUGCCAGACCGCGACGGAAAGCGCUGCAUGUUCUGUGUGAAGACAGCCACCCGCACGUAUGAGAUGAGCGCCUCAGACACGCGCCAGCGCCAGGAGUGGACAGCUGCCAUCCAGAUGGCGAUCCGGCUGCAGGCCGAGGGGAAGACGUCCCUGCACAAGGACCU
rnacentral:sRNA from 1 species